AUGGAGGCGACAGUGCUGAGCGUGGGCAAGUCCGCGGUGAAGGGGGCGCUCGGCUACGCCCAGUCCGCCAUCGCGGCGGAGGUGGCGCUGCAGCUGGGGGUGCAGCGCGACCAGGCCUUCAUCAGGGACGAGCUCGACAUGAUGCAGGCCUUCCUGAUGGCUGCGCACGGCGAGCAAGAUGACGGCAAGGUGGUCGGGACCUGGGUGAAGCAGGUCCGCGACCUGGGCUACGAUGUCGAGGACUGCCUCCAGGACCUGGCUGUCCGCCUCGAGAAGCCAUCCUGGUGGCGUUUCCUCAGGACACUGCUCGACCGGCGCCAUGUGGCUAAGCAGAUGAAGGACCUGCGGGAGAAGGUCGAGGAUGUCAGCCAGAGGAACUUGAGGUACCGCCUCAUCAGGGGGCCCGCCGCUGCUGCUGACUCCAAGCAAGUCGCCACCACCGCCGAGCAAAACCUCGCAGGUAGCGCGACGAUGUUCGGCAUCGAUGAGGCGAGGCGUGCCAUGAAGCGGGACAGGCCGAGAGUGGACCUUGCCCAGCUUAUCAAUGGGGAGGGCAAGGACCUUAGAGUCAUUGCCGUGUGGGGAACAUGUGGUGUUCUUGGGCAGGCGUCCGUGAUACGAAAGGUGUAUGAUGAUGCAGACAAGUUUGAAUGCCGUGCCUGGAUCAAGCUUACACAUCCUUUCGAUCCGAUCAUGUUCAUGCGAAACAUCAUGAGGCAGUUCUAUGGAUGUUCUUUUCCAGAACUGGCAACAACUGAGGGUCAAAGCUGUCAAGAAAGAGCAACCACUGUAGGCGCUCAUGUUCUCAAAAAGAUGCUGACAAUAAAGCAAGAAGAUUUGGUUGACGAGUUCAAUGAGCAUGUGAAUAACAAGAGUUACCUGAUUGUUCUUAACGACCUGUGUACCAUAGAAGAUUGGGACUGGAUCAAAACUUACUUUCCCGUCAAUGAUAAUGGAAACCGGAUCAUUGUGGCCACACAGCAAGUUGAAGUUGCAAGCUUGUGCGUAGGUAAAAAGUGCCAAGUCUCGGAGCUGAAGCAAUUAUCCGCUGAUCAGACUCUCUAUGUUUUCUACAACAAGGGCCCUCAAGGUGGAACAUAUUCAAUGAAACCAGAGUCGAGCUCAAGCACAUACUCCACUUGUAAUAGCUCUAUAGUGCCCAGCAGUGAGAUACCAACUGGUGAUCAGGCUACAGAUGCUGCUGGUGGAAAGAAUGCUAUGCCAAGAAGGAGCCUCACUCGCAUCAUGUCGAUGACGGCUGCUUUGGAGAAAUCUCUGGUUGUUGGGAGGGAGGCAGAAAAAUCUCACAUCCUCGAACUAAUUUCAGAUGCAUCAAGCAAAGAAUUUCAGGUGAUCUCAGUGUGGGGAAUGGGUGGUCUUGGGAAAACUGCCCUAGUCACAGAUAUCUACCAAAGCCAAAAACUCGGUGGUGCAUUUAAAAAGCGUGCUUGUGUCACGGUCAUGAAACCUUUCAAUCGCGAGGAACACCUUAGGAGAUUAGUUAUGCAACUAGACGUAGAAGCAUCUGAAGAGUAUGACACAAUGCAUUCAUUGGGUAGUGCACAAAACAAAUUGCCACGACCGGCUGAGGAGCUGAAGUAUGAGCUGGAAAGGCUUCUGAAAGAAAAGAGGUGCUUGAUUGUCUUUGAUGACUUGUCAUCUACCACCGAAUGGGACUUGAUAAGUGGAGACUUACCUCAGACAAAAAAUGCAAGCCGGAUCAUAGUCACCACACGGGAAGUGAGUAUUGCCAAUUAUUGUUCAAAGAAGAAACAAGAAAAUGUAUGCAGGCUCGAAAGUCUGAAAGAGAAGCAUGCGCUUGACCUCUUCACAAAAAAGGUAUUUAAGGAGAAUGAAGAUCUGCAUCGGCACUAUCCUGAGCUGGUUGAGCAAGCGGAACAAAUCCUGAAGAAGUGCAACGGACUUCCUCUUGCAAUAGUUGCCAUUGGUGGCUUCUUGGCAAAUCAACCAAAGACUACCAUGGAGUGGAGAAAAUUGAAUGAGAAUCUUAGUUCUGAGUUGGAGAUGAUUCCAGAGCUUGACACCAUAAGAACAGUCCUUCUCAAAAGCUACAAUGGUUUACCCUAUCAUCUCAAGGCUUGUUUCUUGUAUCUGGCAAUCUUUCCUGAAGACUACAAGAUUAGUCUAAGACGUUUGGUCCGGCGGUGGAUAGCAGAGGGUUACUCAAGAGAGGUACGCGGCAAGUCUGCGCAUGAAGUAGCGGAGAGCUACUUCAUGGACCUUAUAAGCAGGAGCAUGAUCCUGCCAUCCCAACUAUCAAGUCACAGCAGAAAAGAGAUUGACUCUUGCCAACUCCAUGAUAUUAUCCGUGACAUCAGCAUCUCAAAGUCAGCGGAGGAAAAUCUUGUUUUCAGGUUGGAGGAGGGUUGCGGCUUAAACAACCAAGGCACAACACGUCACCUCUGUGUCAGCAGCAACUGGAAGGGAGACCGGAGUGAAUUCGAGGGCAUGGUGGACCUGUCUCGUGUCCGAUCAAUAACAAUUUUUGGGAAGUGGAGGCCAUUCUUCAUUUCAGACAAGAUGAGAUUGCUGCGAGUGUUGGACUUGGAAGGUACAUCAGGUCUAGUUGAUCAUCACCUCAAGCACAUUGGGAAGCUUUUCCACUUGAGAUACCUUUCACUGAGAGAAUGUCAUGGAAUUUAUCAUCUGCCAAGUUCUUUGGGCAACCUGAGGCAACUCCAGACACUAGAUGUCACGGGUACAUACAUAAUCAAGCUGCCUAAGACCAUCAUCAAGCUCAGGAAGCUACAGCACCUUCGUGCCAGGGGAGUUGGGAACAACGAUGAUUGUCCAGAGUAUCCAGAAGAGGUGCCGGACAUAAUGAGGAACAAGCUAUGCAUGUUGACAUCCUCCUCGGUAGGAUUUUGCGUGGCAUGCUGUGCACCUCACCUUCUGAAAGAGUGCAUGGGCAUAGAUGGGGACACCAACAGACGUGAUGUCUGCACCGCAUGCUGCUGUACCUAUCUGCCUAUGCAGGUGACACGCCGGAGCCGGCGUGGUGUCGCAGUGCCUAGAGGGAUCCACAAGCUCAAAGCCCUUCACACACUGGGUAUCGUUAACAUCUCAAGGAGGAAGGCUGCUCUCCGAGAGGUAGCGAGGCUCACCGGGCUACGCAAGCUGGGAGUGACCGGAAUCAAUGAUAGCAAUGGUGGAGAGCUAUGUUCAGCCCUUUCUAAUCUCAGCUCCCUAGAAACAUUGCUGGUGCAGUCUGAAGGGAAGCCCGGUUUAUUUGGCUGCUUGGAUGCCCUGUCUACUCCUCCGGAAAAGCUUGAGAGCCUCAAGCUGUACGGCAACCUGGUCAGACUGCCGGCAUGGAUCAAUGGUGGGCUGCUAACAAAUCUGGCCAAGCUGAAGCUGCGGAGCUCCAGGAUAUCAGACCAUGAUGCCACCAUACAAGUCCUUGGGAGCCUACCAAACCUAGCCAUCCUGCGUCUGCGGAAAGAUUCGUUUGAGGGAGAAGAGGUCCAUCUCCAUUUUCGUUGGGGUGAAUCGUUCCCAAGCCUAAUGGUGCUGGAACUGAGUUCCCCAGGUAAGCUCAAAUCUGUGGAGUUCCAAAAGGGAGCGACCCCUAAGCUUGAGCUGCUGCAGUAUUACGAUCAGCCUGAUCACGAUCAGGAGGAUCUUGUCUCAAAAGAGAAUGAUGAUCAGUUUGAAGAGGCUCCCAGCAUUUGGUUGUUUUCUGGGCUAGCAUAUCUGGGAAGGCUCAAGAAAGUUGUGCUAGAGGGUGGCAACUAUAAACGCGACUUCGUGCGGAACCUGCGAUCCCAGCUUGAGUCAAAUCUGAAUCGACCUGUUCUCAAGAUGGACUGA
rnacentral:rRNA from 1 species